AGAAUCAACGCUGGCGGCGUGCCUCAGACAUGCAAGUCGAACGCGAAAGUCCCCUUCGGGGGGCAAGUAGAGUGGCGCACGGGGUGAGUAACACGUAGGUAAUCUACCUUUGGAUGGGGAAUAACAACCGGAAACGGUUGCUAAUACCGCAUAAUGCAGCGGCACCUAAUGGUGACAGUUGGUUAAAGCGGGGGAUCGAAAGACCUCGCGUCUGAAGAGGAGCCUGCGGCGGAUUAGCUAGUUGGUAGGGUAACGGCCUACCAAGGCUACGAUCC
rnacentral:rRNA from 1 species